rnacentral:lncRNA from 1 species
AUUCAAGUGCUCAGUCUCAGCAGUGAUCGUGAUUCCCGAGUACCUUUGUCUACAUUCCACAAUAGGUGAGUCCUCAUGGUCCGAGGACCUAUAUUUACAGCUUUCCCAUUUUCACAGUGUUUUGAGUUUUACUUGAAGGUCGUAGUGAGUCAGUUGGGGUUCUGUCCCAAUGGCUCUCCAGUUUGAAUAGUAGAGGCUUUGUUAUACUAGACUUUCAGUUGAAGUUGUGUUCCAG